rnacentral:rRNA from 1 species
UUGUCGAAUCCUGCAAAGCAGACGACCGCGAACUUGUGUAAUUGCCGGGCGUCGGGGAACGGGGGAGACUAAAGCCUCCCCUAACUCCCCGGCGCUCCCCGCGCACCGCGCGGACAACAACUCAACCCCGGCGCGGAAAGCGCCAAGGAAAACUCAAAAGGAUUGCCCGCCUCCCCGUGCGCGGGGUGUGUUGUGGCGUCUGUCGUAACCAAAACGACUCUCGGCAACGGAUAUCUCGGCUCUCGCAUCGAUGAAGAACGUAGCGAAAUGCGAUACUUGGUGUGAAUUGCAGAAUCCCGUGAACCAUCGAGUCUUUGAACGCAAGUUGCGCCCGAAGCCAUUAGGCCGAGGGCACGCCUGCCUGGGCGUCACGCAUCGCGUCGCCACCCCCCUUUUGCGGGGCGGCGGACACUGGCCUCCCGUCCCAAGAAGGCGCGGCUGGCCUAAAUUCGAGUCCUCGACGGGGGACGUCACGACAAGUGGUGGUUGAAUGCCUCAACUCGAUUCCUGUCGUGUUCAUUGGCCUCGUCGUUUCUCGGGCUCCUUGACCCUUCUUGCUUGCAUCUCGAUGCGAGCCUCGACCGCGACCCCA